UGGGGAAUAUUGGACAAUGGGCGAAAGCCUGAUCCAGCCAUGCCGCGUGUGUGAAGAAGGUCUUCGGAUUGUAAAGCACUUUAAGUUGGGAGGAAGGGCAGUAAGCGAAUACCUUGCUGUUUUGACGUUACCGACAGAAUAAGCACCGGCUAACUCUGUGCCAGCAGCCGCGGUAAUACAGAGGGUGCAAGCGUUAAUCGGAAUUACUGGGCGUAAAGCGCGCGUAGGUGGUUCGUUAAGUUGAAUGUGAAAGCCCCGGGCUCAACCUGGGAACUGCAUCCAAAACUGGCGAGCUAGAGUAGGGCAGAGGGUGGUGGAAUUUCCUGUGUAGCGGUGAAAUGCGUAGAUAUAGGAAGGAACACCAGUGGCGAAGGCGACCACCUGGGCUCAUACUGACACUGAGGUGCGAGAGCGUGGGGAGCAAACAGG
rnacentral:rRNA from 1 species